UACGUAGGGGGCGAGCGUUGUCCGGAGUUACUGGGCGUAAAGCGCACGCAGGCGGUCUGCUAAGUUUGGAGUGACAGUUGGUGGCUUAACUGCCAAAGUGCUUCGAAAACUGACAGACUUGAGGGCUUCAGAGGGACACGGAAUUCCGGGUGGAGUGGUGAAAUGCGUAGAGAUCCGGAGGAACACCAAAGGCGAAGGCAGCCCCCUGGGCUAACACUGACGCUCAGGCACGAAAGCGUGGGGAGCAAACAGG
rnacentral:rRNA from 1 species